rnacentral:tRNA from 1 species
GCGAAGCUGACGGGAAUUGGCAUACCUCCCAUCCUCAAAAGUUGGGGUUUCCCGGUUCAAGUCCGGGGCUUCGCACCA